UGUAAAAUAAGCUAAAAUUUAAGCUGUUGGGUUCAUACCCCAAAAAUGAAUAAGAGAUUCUUUUACAA
rnacentral:tRNA from 4 species